UGGAAGUUAAAUCGCAAGGAUCCGGAAGCUCAGUUCGAUAAAAAAUUAUUUCACCGAAUUGCUAGCAGAAAAGUGUGGUGGUGGGCACCCGGGUACCCGGGUGCUCACAUAAGGGUUAAUUGUUGAUUCACGGCUAGUCAUAAACCUAGAAAUUCCUUUAAUAUCGUAUGAACCGUCAAACGUAUAUAAAUUAAAUCCACUUCCAAUAAAUUACAAAGGGAAUAUGAUUAUUCCAGAAAUAAAGGCAGAAUAUUUAAUAUACAAGUUUGAUUUAAAUCAAUAUUCACUUAUAAACCAAGUAGAUCUAGAUAAAUGUUCUACUAACUCAGAGAAUCAUUACCAAUGUCCUGGAAAUUUAACUUGGAAAUCAGCGACGGAUAAUUCAUGUGAAGUAGCAGCUUUAAAACAAUUAGAAAAUGAAGCAUGUGAUUUCAAACCUUCUACAAAUGAAAACAAAUAAGAGAAGGAUGCACAGUCCGGCAUGAAGGAGUAACUGUAACAGCAUCUCAUCACAUACAAUCUGAAAUUAAAAAAUAAUUGCUAUCCUCUUCUUGGGUGAAAGAUAUUGAAGAUAUUCCAGAACUACAAGUAAAACCUUUUGAUUCAACAUUAAUAAACAAUACUAAAGAUAUCGUACAUCUUAAACAACAAAUAGAACUCCUCAAAACAGAAAAUAUAAAAUUAAAAGGUAUAAAUUUUCAUCACGUAAGUGGUCACGUUUCGCUAACAUUAGUUUUGAUAAUAGCAUUAAUCAUUACUAUUUUAUAUAUAAGAUCCAAAUGUGUAACAAGAACUGUGACUGUUCCAUUUGAACUUCCAGUUAGACAUAAUUAAAAAAUAUUAAUAAUAAAACAUAAUAUACAAGUAAAGUUAAGAUACAACUUUGGCCCCUGGCAGAAUGUUCAUAAAGAUAUGAACAUGAAAGUUUAGUAACCUUAACAUAGAAUUAUAUAUUCAAAAUUAUAUUUUUGACACAACUACAUUAAUACAUAAAAAUAUACAUGUAAACAAUAAAUUGUAAUAUGAGACUUGCUCAUAAAAAUGUGAAAAUCAUUGCACAUAAAAGAAAACUCAUAAAUUAGAGUAUACAUAAUACUAAUAUUAAAAUACAAAAUAUACAUACUCGAAAUAUUAAUGCACACAAGCAACAGAUAAGAAAGUAUCAAGCGUGUGUACGUAUGUGUAUAAGUGCGUUAGAUGUACUAAUCUAAAAAACUAUAAAAUAUCAAUGCGUUGGUAUCUGAAAAAUGUUGAAUUUCGUAAAUUAUAAAGAAACAUUGCACCUAUUACUAUAUGCUAUAUAUAUUUCUGGCCUAAUAAUGUAAAUAGGCAUAUUUAUCAACGAAAAUGUUUUAUUUUUUUUUGUUUUUGUCGAUUGCUGUUUUGUUUCGGGCUCAUACGCAUAGAUCCAUGAUUUGUCACCUGUGACGAUCUUAUAAACGUCUUUUGAAGCACCGCGAUCGUAUUUUUUCAGCAAUUCUUUACACCAAUCCACACGAGCCUUUUUUUGAGCGAUUGUCAAAUUGUGCGGGAUGCAACGAGAGCAAACCUUUUUUACAGCCAGGUGUUCAUGCAAUAUCGAAUGUAUGCUGGUGGGAGAUGCCUCUAUCUGAAGGUAUGUUACAUGACGGUCUUGCAUUAUCAGUUCACCUACGGCAUCGAUGUUUUCUGGCACAACGGCUGUUUUUGGACGACCUUCACGGAAUUCGUCUUUGAGCGAGCGUCGGCCACGGUUGAAUUCGUUGUACCAGUUUUUCACAGUGCUAUAGGAUGGUGCUUCAUAGCCAUACAAAGAUUUUAGUUCAUCGAUGCACUCUUGUCGUGAUAAUCCACGUCGAAAGUUGUGAAAAAUGAUCGCACGAAAAUGUUAACGAGUUAAUUCCAUUUUUUGGCCGAGAUGAAUUUUUUAAUUCCCUGUAAAUAAAACAAUUUACGAUUAAAUGGCAAUGGAAAUGUCAGAUUGCACCUGGCAACAUUUAGUGUUGCCCUAGGCCAGAAUAUAUAUAGCAGCCCUCGUAUAUAUCAGCUAGUGCAUUAUUUUCAUUCAUAAUUAGUACAUACGACAUAAUAAAUUUUUUAAACUAUAAUUUAACGCUAUCAUUUAAUACUUUUCCUUUUACUUCAUUAAAAUACUUUGAAACUUUUUAGAAACCAUAAAUGAAAAUACACGGGACAACUGAUACUCUUAUGUUUUGAGACGAUAGAAAAUGCUGCACUUUUGCCUGUUUAGAACGCAAUACAUUAAGAAAAGAACACACAACUUUCACAGCCCGUGCACAGAGCAUUAUAACUGAAAAAUUUUUGUGAGAAAAGAAAUCGUUAUAAGAUACCUUAAAUUGCCCUAAAUAUACGGUAUAAAGCCAACCGGAAAUUUGAAAAUGUUAUAUUUGCAUUAGUUCAUAUUAUUUGGGGGCUAGGGCAAGUUUUUACAAAAUUGUAUCCAUUUUAGGCAUAAAGAUCCAUUGGUUUUAGAAAAACAAGUAUAGGGGUUUUCCAUAAGAGCGCUAUAAAAGUUUUUGAAGUUAUACUUCUUAUACGAGUUCGGAAAGGUUGCGAUAGAUUCAGGUUGCGCAACCUUGCUCAAUAUGAAUCUACGCACCUUGUCUGCGAAGAUGUUCGAGCAGCAAGCGAAGCGCUGACAAUCGGCGAUCGUUUGUUCGUUUGUUUCGGCACAGCUCGGCUUUUCUACCAACAACACAAUGUUGCCAUGCUUAUGCUGUUGUUGUUUUUGUAGAACAAUGUUUCAAUUUUUGGUUGGUGACAUAUUCAAUUAAAAAAUUAAUUCCUUCCUUACCUCCUACGUGCUCAUCGUAAUUUUUGAAACGUUUACCGCCUAGACCACCAUUGACACUUGAAUUGCAUUGUCCUAAUUAUGGUUUGGUUAUGCAUGAAAGAAAUAUACAAUGGAUCGCCGAUUGUUGGUGACAUGUUCAUAUGUGUACGCAUAUGUUUGCAAUGUAUGCAAAUAUAUGUAUAUAUAAGUAUAUAAGAAUGUAUGAACAUGCAAGUCAAUGCGCGCACAUGUAAUACAUAAGUAUAUUGAUAAGUGAUGAAUAUAUGAUUUCAAUUUCUGAACGCGCACAUGCGUAUACAUACACUCAUAUGAGCAUGUGGAGAUACACAAGAUAGGAUAGAAGAUGUAUGCCUUUUAACAUCGUAUACUAUACAAAUAAAUAUUUUUCUUACUAAUAGAAAUUAAAUUUAUCACAGCAAUAUACAUAUACAUAAUAUUGCUGUGAUAAAUUUAAUUUUAUUAGUAAGAAAAAUAUUUAUUUGGAUAGUAUACGAUGUUAAAAGCAAAAAAUUAAAAGUUUAUUCUGUCGAGAUUCGAACCUGAGACCUGUGGUAUCAUCUUGACUUUCCAAGCGCUUACCACCAACACCACCAUUGACACUUAGGUUGCGCUGACUUAAGUAUGGUUUGGUUAUGCAUGUACAUAAGAAACAUACGAUGGUUCUAAUAAUUUUGUUUAAGUAUAGAAAUAUGCUUUUGUAGAACAUUUGCUUUCGCAAAUAUACAAACAAAUGUGCAAACGACAUAAUAUAUGUACAUAUGUGUGUAUGAUUGUUUCGCAUUUUACUUCUACGCCGGUCAAAUUUCUAAACAAAAAUCGGCUGAAAUGUGUGAGAAAAUAAAAAAAUGGACAACUAGGGCAAAUAAUUUUUAAAAAAUUUAUUGACAAUUAAAUAUAAAUGAAAAUACAUGUAAAUUUACUUAAAUUUAUUGAAAUUUCGUUUCGCAUUUUUCGGCACUUUCAAAUUAAUUAAUAUAAGUAAAAUUCACGACUUAACCCGCACACGUCUUAUUCGCGCAAAAUUUCCAACUUUAUGAAAAUUGGCGCAUUUAUUGACACUUCAAUUUUAUGUAAAGUUUAAAACAUGUUUACAUAUGAAUAUAUAAUAUAUUUGAUUUUGGCGCAAUUAUUGACACUUGUCUUAAUAUAGAAAAUUGGGCCAAAACGAAACAAUGAAAUACAUACAUAAUUACUUUUGCAUGUGAAUAUGGAAAUACCGACGGCAAAACGCAAAGGCAUAUAUUGCACAUAUGUACAUACAUACAUACAUAGAAGCGAUUUCUUGGCUGAAAGCAAAAAUUGAAGCAUGAGAAAUUGAAAUGCCGACGGCAAAACGAAAUUGCUUACAUUCGUACAUUGCGUAUGAAUCAUGAAAAUAUCAUCAUAAUGUUUAGGUAAAUCUUUUAUAUAUUUAAAAUGAGUUAUUAUAAAAUAAGAUCACAUAUUCAUUUAAAAAUAAAUUCUGUUGGGAUUCGAACCUACGUAUCUCCACCGUGCUUAUCGUAAUUUUUGAAACGCUUAACUCCUAGACCACCAUUGACACUUGAAUUGCGUUGCCUUAUUAUGGUUUGGUUAUGCAUGAAAGAAAUGUAAAAUGGAUCGCCGAUUGUUACCUCUUUCCUCGCUGCUGCUGCGCAUAUGUAUGUUUUUGUGCUUGUUCAUUAUUGAAGUUAUACAGCUUUUUCUUUCCUUUGUCUUUCAUUUCUGCGAAUUCUCAACUAUUUUAUGUGACCUUUUGUUGAAAUACCCUGCGUUGACCGUUGAAAAAUUAAGGCUAUACUUUACAGGAUUAUUUCUGUAGUUAGUCUUCAUUUACAUUUUUUUGAAAACCGACCCGCGAUGACGAGGUAUAUCAUUUUAUCUGACAGCGUGAGGUUUAAGAAGUUCAUUUCUAAUUGUGUCUUGUGGCAUAUUAGAAAUGAUGUUUCUUCGAAAAUCGUUCGCUUACAACGGAUAAAACGACUUCUGAGUGGUGAUUUUAAUGAAUAAAUUCCUUUUGGUUGAAAUGCUCUGCGUUGGCCGUUGAAAAGUUAAGACUAUACUUCUCAGGAUCAUUCAUUCCUUUCAUUUCUUAAAAGAAAUUAAUGACCUUUAGAAAUAUGCAUAUUUGCAUUAUUUCGUUGUCAUUUCCAUAUUCGUAGCAAUGGAAUUUCUAUGGCAUAAAUAAAGUAAUGGCCGCCGAUUGUCACCCCUUGCCGCUGUAGCAGCUUCGCCUACAAACAUGAGUAAAUAUGUAUGUAUGUAAGCACCAGAAAGUUGUGCAAUUUAUGAUUUUUAGCUUUUGCCAUCGUCGCGAAAAAACGACUUGUUGGCAAAGGCUUGCUCGGGGAGAUAAUAAAUUAUAAUAAAUUUAUAAAAUGUGAAUUUAAGUUUUCUAGUUUUCUUUCAUACAAAAUGAUAUGCAUUUCUUGGAAUAUCACUAAGAAGUAUAACUUCAUCCGCGCGUAGGGACUCCACGCACCUUUUUUAAAUAUGACAAAAACGGUUUGGGAUAUCAAUGAAAUUUUUUAGUUGCUGUGAAGUACAUUUAAUUCCAUUAUGUAUGGAACUCGAUUUCUUUUUCAUGGCUAUCACAGACACGCUUGCAGAAGUCCAGACGCUGAACCCAAUUUUCAACGAUUUCCAAGCAUAAAUCGGCCGAUCCUGCUGCAAUUUCACGUUCUCUGUUCAAACGAAGUUCAUCAAUCGCCACUCCCUUGUUGGCAUAGACCAUAAACUUGGCAUAGCCCCACACGAAAUAGUCCAACAGCGUCAAAUCGCACGGUGGAGGCGGCCAAUUGACUUGGUUUUUAAUAAAUCAAUUGUGACUAUGUGGCUUGUGGCGCUGUCCAGUUGGAAUCACAUAUUGCCCAAGUACAUAUCAUCCAAUUCGAGCCAAAAAUAUUUGGUUAUCAUUGAGCGGUAGCGAUUCCCAUUCACAGUAAUGCGCCAGUAUUAACCAUCACGGAAGGUGAAUGGCCUAAUGACGCCUCUUGCCCAUAAACCGCACCGAACCCUAAUUUUAAUACUCUCGCAGCAAAGUUUCUAAGGAGAGUAUUAUAGUUUUUUUCACAUAACGGUUGUUUGUAAGUCCUAAAACUAAAAGAGUCCGUCUGUCCGUCCAUCUGUCGGUCCGUUUGUUUGUCCGACCGUCCGUGCAAGCUGUAACUUGAGUAAAAAUUGAGAUAUCAUGAUGAAACUCAGUACACGUAUUCCUUGGCUCGAUAAGAAGGUUAAGUUCGAAGAUGGGCAAAAUCGGCCCACUGCCACGCCCACAAAAUGGCGGAAACCGAAAACUUAUAAAGUGUCAUAACUAAGCCAUAAAUUAAGAUAUUAAAGUGAAAUUUGGCACAAAGGAUCGCAUUAGGGUGGGGCAUAUGUGGACGCAAUUAUUUUGUAAAAGUGGGCGUGGCCCCGCCCCCUACUAAGUUUUUUGUACAUAUCUCGGAAACUACUAUAGCUAUGUCAACCAAAGUCUAUAGGGUCGUUUCCUUCAGGCAUUUCCAUAUACAGUUUAAAAAUGGAAGAAAUCGGAUAAUAACCACGCCCACCUCCCAUACAAAGGUUAUGUUGAAAAUCACUAAAAGUGCGUUAACCGACUAAAAAAAAACGUCAGAAACACUAAGUUUUACGGAAGAAAUUGCAGAAUGAAGCUGCACCCAGGCUUUUUUUAAAAAUUGAAAAUGGGCGUGGCCUCGCCCACUUAUGGACCAAAAACCAUAUCUCAGGAACUACUAGACCGAUUUCCAUGAAAUUCGGUAUAUAAUAUUUUCUUAACACCCUGAUGACAUGUACGAAAUAUGGGUGAAAUCGGUUCACAACCACGCCUUCUUCCAAUAUAACGCUAUUUUGAAUUCCAUCUGAUGCCUUCUCUGUAUAUUAUAUAGUACAUUAGGAACCAAUGAUGAUAGCGGAAUAAAACUUUACAAAAAUACGGUAUUUGAAAAAUAUGUAAAUGACGUAUAAUGAAAUCUCGAUUAUCACUUUAUGAUGCGAGAGUAUAAAAUGUUCGGUGAUACCCAAACUUAGCCCUUCCUUACUUGAAAAGAAAGAGAACAGCACUGCCGGCAACAUGUUUUUAUACUCUCGCAACAAUGUUGCUAAGGAGAGUAUUAUAGUUUUGUUCACAUAACGGUUGUUUGUAAGUCCUAAAACUAAAAGAGUCAGAUAUAGGGUUAUAUAUACCAAAGUGAUCAGGGUGACGAGUAGAGUCGAAAUCCGGAUGUCUGUCUGUCCGUCCGUCCGUCUGUCCGUCCGUCCGUCCGUGCAAGCUGUAACUUGAGUAAAAAUUGAGAUAUCAUGAUGAAACUUGGUACACGUAUGUAUUUUUUGGCUCCAUGAUAAGGUUAAGUUCGAAGAUGGGCAAAAUCGGCCCACUGCCACGCCCACAAAAUGGCGAAAACCGAAAUCCUAUAAAGUGUCAUAACUAAGCCAUAAAUAAAGAUAUUGAAGUGAAAUUUGGCACAAAGGAUGGCAUUAGAGAGGAGCAUAUUUGGACGUAAUUUUUUUGGAAAAGUGUGCGUGGCCCCGCCCCCUACUAAGUUGUUUGUACAUAUCUCGGAAACUACUAUAGCUAUGUCAACCAAACUCUAUAGAGUCGUUUCCUUAAGGAAUUUCUAUAUACAGUUCAAAAAUGGAAGAAGUCGGAUAAUAACCACGCCCACCUCCCAUACAAAGGUUAUGUUGAAAAUCACUAAAAGUGCUUUAACACCGACUAACAAAACACGUCAGAAACACUAAAUUUUACGGAAGAAAUGGCAGAAAGAAGCUGCACCCAGGCUUUUUUUUAAAUUGAAAAUGGGUGUGGCGUCGCCCACUUAUGGACCAAAAACCAUAUCUCAGGAACUACUAAUCUAAUUUUACAGCAAAACAAAAAAAUAUGUAAAUGACGGAUAAUGAAAUCUCGAUUAUCACUUUAUCAUGCGAGAGUAUAAAAUGUUCGGUGGCACCCGAACUUAGCCCUUCCUUACUUGUUUUCUAUUCAUUUCUCUAUUGCGAAACCCAAACGAACCCAGAACACAGAACCAGUGUUGCUGGAUUUUUUAUGAAUUAAAAAAAAAAUAUUUAAAUUUUUAGGAAAAAAAUGCUUUUUUCCCUUCAUACAUUCAUUUUUAACUUCGAAAGUGUUGCACAUAUAAGAAAACGGUAUAGAAACAGAUUAGAGAAACUGUAAUUCUUAAUUUUUCUAAAUUUGUUUCGUCAAAAUCGGACAAGUGGUUCGCGAGUUAUGUUAAACUACGUUUUUGCCAAAAUGUUACAACUAAGAGAAAAAACAUCAAGAUAAGGAAAAAAUUUAAAAGGUCAUAAAAAAAAACUGACACAUACGAACGCUAAACCCUUUGAGGGUUUGACUAUACUGACCUAAUACCAUCACCUUGACUUCGAAUUUCUCAUCCCCCAGAUUAGCUGUUGUAGUGUGCUAUCAAAAGAAUUGGAUACGACGGCGAUCCUGUGCGUUUCAAUUAAUACUUCCAUUAUCCACUUCGUCAUAACGCAGUUACGCUAGCGCCAAUCCCUUUUCGUUUUCUACAAUUUGAUUCCAUGGCGAUUGUGGUCGAUAAGUUAAUUCGAUCGCUACAGUUUAUUCCGCCUUAACUCCUGGAUCCCCGACGCCCCGAUCGUUAACGCUUAUAUUUAUUAAUCUAAAUAUUAACUUAUAUAUUGUAUUACAUAAUAUUGUAUAUGGAUGAAUAUAAAAUUUAAAAAAUGUAUAUCCCGUAAACAGUGAUUGCGAGUGUAUGUAUCUUAAUAAUAUUUUACGCAAGUUGGUGAGGGUGCAGAUACAUACAUAUGUUCAGUAUAAAAUGAAUUAAUCCUCUAACUUUUAGUCCAAAACGAUCAACAGAUAUUUUGUUUGCUGGCAAAGAAAUAGUCGUUUGCGGCUAUGGGAACAUUGGAAAGGGUUGUGUACAAAGUCUUCGAAGAAAAGUUUGCAUAGCAAAUGCAUAGCCUUUCAUUUUAAAAAAAUUGUGCAUGGUUCCAGCAUAAAUGGAUUUCGUUUAAAUCAAAUUGUUCGUUAAAAGCGCCCAUACACGGGCACACAAGUGCGUUCGAUCGGUAUGUGUGCGCUGGCGGUUUAUCGUGUAUGGGCUUGUUCGCGUACCGAUCCAUGUUCGCGAAAAUGUUUGAUUUUUUACGAUCGGUGCGCGAACAUGUUUAUCGUGUAUGGCGUUGUCGGCGCACAAAAUCUCAUUUCUCUCGUGUCACCGAACAGUGAAGAUCGCGGACAAUGGCAAGUGUUAAGGGGAGAGCCUGCUUUCGAGGCUACAAAAAAUCGAUUUUUUUGAGGAUUUUUUUGGGAGGGAAAGAAAUAAUUGAUUCAGGCGAAAUUUCUAGGCUUUAUAGUUAUAUAUUUGAACAUCUUUCACAAAUUUUUUGAUACGAAAUCUUUGAUAUUCUGCCUUUCGGAAGCAAUUACCCGAUGCAUCUCGCAUGUACAUUUUUCGGACGGUGGGCAGGAUGCAGGUCGCAAUUUCUAUCGGAAACAAAAAAUUCAAAAAGAUUCAUAUUUUUUAUUAAUUUAUCCUCUAGUUAAACUAAGAAAAUUCCAAAAAAAAGUGUAAAAUUUAAAAUUUUAUUAAAAAUUGAAUAAAUAGUGGCUUUUGAUCAAAAGAAUUUUACUUUAUGCUGUUUAAAAAUAUGUUAAAACUUGACUUUUCUUAAUAUUUUCUUUAGUUUAAAUAUAAGAUAAUUUUAUGUCAAUGAUAAUAAACUUUGCCCUAAUUCCAUACGACGUUUAGUUUUUUUUUCUAUCCUGCCCGCCAAUUAAGAAUAAUCGUAAAAAUGAAAAACCGAGAAAUCACGCUUCAAAGUUUUCGCUUUUUGCCUAAGCGCUCAUACAUAUGUAUUAGGCCGAGUCGAUUUGUGGGGAGGCAAAAAAAUCGCCCAUUGCUCUAUGAAAAUCAUAUUCUAGGGAUCAAAAUAAGAAACUUUGCCGAAGGAACCAUACCUCUGAAACGAAUUCUGAUGUCCCCCAAUUUGGGUCGAACUUUUGGGUAGGGGCAAAUUUUGAAAUAGAAUUGAAAUUAUCAUUUCAUUCUUAUUACCUCUGAAAGUGAGGAGAACUAAAGCAAUAACCACUAUGGUAUUUAAAAAAAAAAAAUAAGUGAAGUGACCAUUCCAAAUCAAAAAGUUUACAAUGAAUCCACCAUCCUCUACACCGCAAGAUGAAGCAACUACAUCAACAACUAUCGAAAACCCAAUGAGUCAUAUACCCAAGCAUGAUGUUACUGUUUUUGGUGUGUCUACUGAUUUGACUGAUCUUAAUUUACCAACCCAUCUGGAUAUCUUGAGAUAUUAUUUUUACUUAAGCGAACGUGCUAAAACAGAACAAAAAAAGCUUUCCAAUAAAUCAUUCACUAUUCAAGUACAAGAUAAGUUGAUUGGAAUUUGGGAAAAACUUGGUAUGGAAAUAAUGCUGAAAAAAGUGUAUGUAAUAAAUUGAAUAAAUUGCUUGACAAGUAUCAAGAGCAAAUCAAGAGAAGAAACAACACCCAACAAUUUACAGAGUAUGUAAAAUCUCUGGAAACAAUUUUUUACAUUGGAACAUGUAAAUGCGAUUUGAAGGCAGCUCCAUGUGCAUGCGGCUGGGUUCUCGAACGCCUCAAAGAGUUCAUGCACGAUCAACAUAAUCAGAGAGGACUAACAAUGAAUGCAUUUAUGAUGGAAACUGAAGAGCAAGGAGCAACGUCUAUGCCAUCAAUGCCAACAUACCAAGAUCCCGAUGAUUCAACAUACGCACCGCCACCGGUUCAAGAAGAUAUGGAUAGAAGCACAAUACACAGAGAGAUACGAUUGUUUUAACUUUGCCUUGGUAUGUGACAGAUUUGGUGUGCCUGACAGAGUAGCAUCAGCACUGGGAACCGCUCUUUUGCAAGAUUUUAAAAUUAAAGAUAAGCAUGGGAAACCUCUCAUCAUGGAUAAAUCGAAAGUUCGCAGAGAAAAAGAGAAAUGCAGACAAGAAGUGCUUCGCAAACGGUUAGAUGAUACCAAUUUGUUAGCGUUUUCAUUCGAUGGCAGAAAAGAUGAUACUUUAACGAUAGAUAAAAUUGAUGAGAAGUAUCAUACUAGGAAGGUAAAAGAACUUCAUCUUGUUAUUUUGAGAGAACCCAAUUCUGAAUUGAUUGGUUACGUAAGACUGGAACAUGAAACCGCUGAAUACAAAACAACCAAAUUAAAUGUUUUUUUCAACGAUAAAAAUAUAUCACUGGAUACAUUAAUUGGAAUAUGCACUGACGGUGAGCCAACAAACACUGGCUCACACGGUGGAAUUAUACGACGAUUCGAAUUGCUGUUAAAAAGACCAUUGCAUUGGUUUGUUUGCCUUUUACACUUCAACGAACUUCCGUUUCGGCAUUUGUUUGAAGCUUUGGAUAAAUCAACUAGCACUGGACCAAGAUCGGCAACCGGAAAACUGAGCCGUUAAAUCAAAACUUGUGAAACUCUUCCGGUGGUGGACGGCUUCCAGAAAAUUGAGUUGCAAAAUAUGCCCCCUGCUCCAGAAAAAAAAGAAUUUUCCACCGAUUCGAAGUACUUAUAUGACAUGGCCCAUGCAAUUUCUAGCAGCGUGGUUCCGGUGGAUCUGGCUAACAUCAAACCAGGGAAAAUUGAACAUUCUAGGUGGCUCACCAAGGCCGGUAGAUUAUUGCGAUUAUAUGUGACAACGGAAAAUCCAGAUGCAAAUUUAAGAAUUCUGGUUGAAUUUAUAAUUAAAUGUUAUGUGCCAAUGUACUUCAAUAUCAAGUAUUACAGCUCUGUCGUGUACGGCAGUGCAUUAUUUUUCAAGUUCAUUGGUUGGUCACGAUUUCUAGAACCUCGUUUACGCAAAAUUGUCAAUCAAGUAAUUAAAGAUAAUUCAUAUUAUGCGCAUUCGGAAAAUUUCUUGUUAUCAAUGUUGUUUGAUGAUAGGAAAGAAAAGCGCGACUGUGCCAUCAAGAAAAUUCUACGCUAUCGAACCGAUGUUGACGAGCCAAUGGAACUUAGAGUUUAUAAAAAACCAGAUAUAAACUUUAAUUGCACAAGUUAUACGGAAAUGAUCAAUUUGAAUGAGAUAAAUAUCGUAUUUGAACCACCAUUCAGGCGAAGCAUUCCGUACGAUACAUUGAAAGAAUAUUUAAAUCAAGAUGAUCCACCAUUUAAUGAUCCAAAAAUUCCAUCACACAUACAAGGAACGGAACGGCAUGUUCAAUUGCUAGCUAGCGUUUCCAAACGGUUUAUACCGGAAAAUGUAGAGUCUGUUAUGGCGACGACAUAAGAGAGCCGUGCGAAAUUGCCCAGACUUGAAAGUAAAGAACAAAAUUUUUUUUUAGUUUCUUUUCUAUAACUCACUUAAAUUAAUUUUUUCAUUUACAUAUGUUCUGACUAAAUAAAUUUCUUAAGAGAAAAAAUAGAUAUUAUUAUAAAUAAAUAAGUAAAAAUAAAGAAAAAACAUA